rnacentral:piRNA from 1 species
UNGGUGUAGGUUAAGGGUCUUUGCCGAGG